GUGGGGAAUAUUGGACAAUGGGCGAAAGCCUGAUCCAGCCAUGCCGCGUGUGUGAAGAAGGUCUUCGGAUUGUAAAGCACUUUAAGUUGGGAGGAAGGGCAGUAAGUUAAUACCUUGCUGUUUUGACGUUACCGACAGAAUAAGCACCGGCUAACUUCGUGCCAGCAGCCGCGGUAAUACGAAGGGUGCAAGCGUUAAUCGGAAUUACUGGGCGUAAAGCGCGCGUAGGUGGUUUUGUAAGUUGGAGGUGAAAUCCCCGGGCUCAACCUGGGAACUGCCUCCAAAACUGCAUGACUAGAGUACGGUAGAGGGUAGUGGAAUUUCCUGUGUAGCGGUGAAAUGCGUAGAGAUCGGGAGGAACAUCCGUGGCGAAGGCGGCCAUCUGGACCAGCACUGACACUGAGGCACGAAAGCGUGGGGAGCAAACAGGAUUAGAAACCCGGGUAGUCC
rnacentral:rRNA from 1 species